GAUGAACGCUAGCGGCAGGCUUAACACAUGCAAGUCGAGGGGUAGAAGGAGCUUGCUCCUUUGAGACCGGCGCACGGGUGCGUAACGCGUAUGCAAUCUACCUUUUGCAGAGGGAUAGCCCAGAGAAAUUUGGAUUAAUACCUCAUAGUAUGUGAGGAUGGCAUCAUUUUCACAUUAAAGUCACAACGGCAAAAGAAUGAGCAUGCGUCCCAUUAGCUAGUUGGUAAGGUAACGGCUUACCAAGGCUACGAUGGGUAGGGGUCCGUGAGAGGGAGAUCCCCACACUGGUACUGAGACACGGACCAGACUCCUACGGGAGGCAGCAGUGAGGAAU
rnacentral:rRNA from 1 species